rnacentral:rRNA from 1 species
GACGAACGCUGGCGGCGCGCCUAACACAUGCAAGUCGAACGAGCGAGAGAGAGCUUGCUUUCUCGAGCGAGUGGCGAACGGGUGAGUAACGCGUGAGGAACCUGCCUCAAAGAGGGGGACAACAGUUGGAAACGACUGCUAAUACCGCAUAAGCCCACAGCUCGGCAUCGAGUAGAGGGAAAAGGAGCAAUCCGCUUUGAGAUGGCCUCGCGUCCGAUUAGCUAGUUGGUGAGGUAACGGCCCACCAAGGCGACGAUCGGUAGCCGGACUGAGAGGUUGAACGGCCACAUUGGGACUGAGACACGGCCCAGACUCCUACGGGAGGCAGCAGUGGGGAAUAUUGCACAAUGGGGGAAACCCUGAUGCAGCGACGCCGCGUGGAGGAAGAAGGUCUUCGGAUUGUAAACUCCUGUUGUUGAGGAAGAUAAUGACGGUACUCAACAAGGAAGUGACGGCUAACUACGUGCCAGCAGCCGCGGUAAAACGUAGGUCACAAGCGUUGUCCGGAAUUACUGGGUGUAAAGGGAGCGCAGGCGGGAAGACAAGUUGGAAGUGAAAUCCAUGGGCUCAACCCAUGAACUGCUUUCAAAACUGUUUUUCUUGAGUAGUGCAGAGGUAGGCGGAAUUCCCGGUGUAGCGGUGGAAUGCGUAGAUAUCGGGAGGAACACCAGUGGCGAAGGCGGCCUACUGGGCACCAACUGACGCUGAGGCUCGAAAGUGUGGGUAGCAAACAGGAUUAGAUACCCUGGUAGUCCACACUGUAAACGAUGAUUACUAGGUGUUGGAGGAUUGACCCCUUCAGUGCCGCAGUUAACACAAUAAGUAAUCCACCUGGGGAGUACGACCGCAAGGUUGAAACUCAAAGGAAUUGACGGGGGCCCGCACAAGCAGUGGAGUAUGUGGUUUAAUUCGACGCAACGCGAAGAACCUUACCAAGUCUUGACAUCCCUUGACGAUGCUGGAAACAGUAUUUCUCUUCGGAGCAAGGAGACAGGUGGUGCAUGGUUGUCGUCAGCUCGUGUCGUGAGAUGUUGGGUUAAGUCCCGCAACGAGCGCAACCCUUAUGGUCAGUUACUACGCAAGAGGACUCUGGCCAGACUGCCGUUGACAAAACGGAGGAAGGUGGGGAUGACGUCAAAUCAUCAUGCCCUUUAUGACUUGGGCUACACACGUACUACAAUGGCGUUAAACAAAGAGAAGCAAGACCGCGAGGUGGAGCAAAACUCAGAAACAACGUCCCAGUUCGGACUGCAGGCUGCAACUCGCCUGCACGAAGUCGGAAUUGCUAGUAAUCGCAGAUCAGCAUGCUGCGGUGAAUACGUUCCCGGGCCUU